GCUUUCCUUCGGGGCAGGGUGAAAUUCCCAACCGGCGGUGAUCGGGAGAAGGGAACAAGUCGUUAUACGGCUUCGUUUCCCGCCUCCGUCAGUCCGUGACCCGGGCCGAAUCUCGCAAGAGAACGGAACGGUGGACCUGGUGCAAAUCCGGGACCGACAGUAUAGUCUGGAUGGGAGAAGGAGAAG
rnacentral:ncRNA from 2 species